GCCUUUAAUGUCACCUGUAAAACAUAUUCCCAAAGGUAGAAUAUGUUUUCUCCAGAGUCUGAGGAGGCCUACCAGAUGAGCUUUCUUAUCUGCUGGGCAAGAAUUUCUCCUUUUCUUUGGAGGGGAUGUCUAGUCAUGCUUCUGACUACCAAACCACUAAAGAUCUCACUGAGAUUAGGACUCUGCAGAAGGUUUUGUUUGUGGAAAGGCUUUUACUGCUGAAAGCUAACAGUAGGACAUUCUAUGGAAUACCUGACCAGUACUCCUUGAAACUUCAGUCACGAAAAACAAGGAGAGACUGAGAAACUCUCAAGAACCAGAGGAGACCAAGGAGACACAAACACCAAAUGCAAUGUGAUAUCCUGGGUGGAAUGCCGGAACGGAAAAGGGACCU
rnacentral:lncRNA from 10 species